rnacentral:rRNA from 1 species
UUUGAACGGCGAGCUUGCUUUUCCGCUGACGAGUGGCGCACGGGUGCGUAACGCGUAUACAAUCUGCCUCUUACAGGGGGAUAGCCUUUGGAAACGAAGAAUAAUACCCCAUGGUAUCCUGACCCCGCAUGGGCGUCGGGAUUAAAGAUUUAUCGGUAAGAGAUGAGUAUGCGUCCUAUUAGCUAGAUGGUGUGGUAACGGCACACCAUGGCCACGAUAGGUAGGGGCCCUGAGAGGGGGAUCCCCCACACUGGUACUGAGACACGGACCAGACUCCUACGGGAGGCAGCAGUGAGGAAUAUUGGACAAUGGGCGGAAGCCUGAUCCAGCCAUGCCGCGUGCAGGAAGACUGCCCUAUGGGUUGUAAACUGCUUUUGUACGGGAAGAAACCCACCUACGAGUAGGUGGCUGACGGUACCGUAAGAAUAAGCAUCGGCUAACUCCGUGCCAGCAGCCGCGGUAAUACGGAGGAUGCAAGCGUUAUCCGGAAUCAUUGGGUUUAAAGGGUCCGUAGGUGGAUCGGCCAGUCAGAGGUGAAAUCCUGCAGCUCAACUGUAGAACUGCCUUUGAUACUGCCGGUCUUGAAUUAUCGUGAAGUGGUUAGAAUAUGUAGUGUAGCGGUGAAAUGCAUAGAUAUUACAUAGAAUACC